CGUUAAACCUCUCGGCGACCAUGUUCAUAAUAAAUUGAAUAUGUACAUAUAUAAGAAUUACAGAGAAUGCUUACAAGUCAUUGAUUACGACUAUAUCAUGAUGAAGGAAAAAAGGUACAUAUAAUACAGGAUUUUGGACACCUCACUCGAUACUAAAUGUUGAAGGGUUUUUGUAGAUGGAAAUCUCGAGUGUAAAUUUUAUACGUUUAUACACCAAACCAGGAGCAGCUGCAAAAAAUGCAACUAUAUAGGCCCUCUGGCAGGAAUCAAACCUGCGACCCUGCGAUUCCGUUGCAGCACUCUAACCCUCGUUCUAACCAACUGAGCUACAGAAUCUACUUGUCGAGCUUUAACCACAAGUUCAUGUAUACAGUACAUACUACGUGAUGCCAGUGUAAGGUAUAUGGGCAAAUAUCAGGAUUUCAGGCAUCUCAGUCGAUAUUACAUGUUGAAUGGUUUUUUGUAGAUGGAAAUCUCGCAAACCCUUCAACGUGUAUAGUGCAGGGUGUAUCAAAAAAGGUAAAACAAUUUCGGCAUGUUAUCGUGUGUCAUAGAUACUAAGUUUAUAGAUUCACUGUUCGCACACUGAUAAAGGUAGGCUUUUAGCUGCCAAAUGACACCAUUUUUGAAUAAUUGCGAUGUAACAUGGUCAAAUCCGAUCUGAUUUAAAGUAGUCGGUCGAAAAAUAAAU
rnacentral:lncRNA from 1 species